GUGGUCUCAAGGGAGAGGAUUCAAAUUUCUUGGAGGAUGAAACACAAAGAUAUUUGCACGUAAAGUGGCCGAUCAUUAUAGUGCAAGGACAAAUCAAACUCUGGAAGAACGAGAAGCUAGUCCGAUCAUCCAUUUAAAAAAGCUUAACAACUGGAUUAAGAGUGUACUAAUUCAGCUCUAUGCUCGCCGAGGAGAUGCUGUUCUUGAUCUUGCAUGCGGAAAGGGAGGUGAUCUCAUCAAAUGGGACAAGGCCAAAAUUGGGUACUAUGUUGGCAUUGAUAUUGCUGAAGGCUCUGUAAGUGCUGAAAUCUUAUUUUAAAUUAUAAUUAACUCUUUGGUUGACAUUUUUAUUUUAU